ACUGUUUGGUUCAAGGUGCUAUGCUACCGUAAGUGAAUCUAUCAAGUGCUAGUAACACAGAGCACAAGCAAGAAGGCUGAAGCAGCACAAUCCUACAAGACUCACCUCCUUCCUUACAUGAUCCUGAUGGAAGCACAGUUCUCUCUCCUUCCUCAGUGUACUGAAAUCCCACCAUAUCUGCCCAAAUCAGCUGUGCACUUUUCCUGCUGGAAAAUAUGGGAUGGUAGAUGCUGGCUAUUAGACAAGAUAAUGAAAGAGUAAAACAUUUGGUUAUUCCUAUAAAAAUGAUGCAUCAGAUGUCAUGACGUGACCUCAUUUCUAAGACUUUCCGAGGGAAGAAUACGUAAGCCUUCUCUGGACUCUGGGAGCACAGCUGACAUUUUGGGGAAGCUCCCAAGUCCUGCUGUGCUGCCUUUGAUCAGUGCUGCACUCAUCAUACUGCAAGUCCACCUGCACACGUUGAAGAGGAGGAAUUGCUCUCCCUGUGCCCGUCCUGUUGCGUAGGGAUCAGCUGACAUGAGUCACGGAUGGGUUUGGUAUAUCAAAGUCUGAAAGUCAAAGAUUACAGAAAACCUAUAAAGAAAAUGAAACCUGAGUAAGAUUCUUAGCU